rnacentral:rRNA from 1 species
CCUACGGGAGGCAGCAGUAGGGAAUAUUGGGCAAUGGUUGCAAGUCUGACCCAACCAUGCCGCGUGCAGGAUGAAGGCCUUAUGGGUUGUAAACUGCUUUUACCAGGGAAGAAAAAACUCUUGCGAGAGGAACUGACGGUACCUGGUGAAUAAGCACCGGCUAACUCCGUGCCAGCAGCCGCGGUAAUACGGAGGGUGCAAGCGUUGUCCGGAUUUAUUGGGUUUAAAGGGUGGGUAGGCGGCCUAUUAAGUCCGUGGUGAAAGCCAACAGCUCAACUGUUGAACUGCCAUGGAUACUGAUAGGCUUGAGUACAGACGAGGUUGGCGGAAUUGAUGCUGUAGCGGUGAAAUGCAUAGAUAGCAUCAAGAACACCGAUUGCGUAGGCAGCUAACUAGACUGUAACUGACGCUGAGGCACGAAAGCGUGGGGAGCGAACUGGAUUAGAUCCCCUGGUAGUCCACGCUGUAAACGAUGAUUACUGGAUGUUGGCGAUAAACAGUCGGCGUCUUAGCGAAAGCGUUAAGUAUCCGCCUGGGAAGACGCCCAGUGGGG